AUUGAACGCUGGCGGCAGGCCUAACACAUGCAAGUCGAGCGGAUGAAGGGAGCUUGCUCCUGGAUUCAGCGGCGGACGGGUGAGUAAUGCCUAGGAAUCUGCCCGGUAGUGGGGGAUAACGUCCGGAAACGGGCGCUAAUACCGCAUACGUCCUGAGGGAGAAAGUGGGGGAUCUUCGGACCUCACGCUAUCAGAUGAGCCUAGGUCGGAUUAGCUAGUUGGUGGGGUAAAGGCCUACCAAGGCGACGAUCCGUAACUGGUCUGAGAGGAUGAUCAGUCACGCUGGAACUGAGACACGAUCCCGACUCCUACGUGAGGCAGCAGUGGGGAAUAUUGGACAAUGGGCGAAAGCCUGAUCCAGCCAUGCCGCGUGUGUGAAGAAGGUCUUCGGAUUGUAAAGCACUGUAAGUUGGGAGGAAGGGCAGUAAGUUAAUACCUUGCUGUUUUGACGUUACCAACAGAAUAAGCACCGGCUAACUUCGUG
rnacentral:rRNA from 1 species